rnacentral:rRNA from 1 species
GACGAACCGUGCGAACGUUGUUCGGAAUCACUGGGCUUAAAGGGCGCGUAGGCGGGCUGUCAAGUCCGGGGUGAAAUCCUCCCGCUCAACGGGGAGAACGGCCUCGGAUACUGAUGGUCUCGAGGGAGGUAGGGGCACGCGGAACUGUGGGUGGAGCGGUGAAAUGCGUUGAUAUCCAUAGGAACUCCGGUGGCGAAAGCGGCGUGCUGGACCUUUUCUGACGCUGAUGCGCGAAAGCCAGGGGAGCAAACAG